AUUCAAGUGGGGUUACCAAUAGCUCAUUAAAAAAAAAAAAUACUCAAGUGGGUGUGGACGUGGUUGCUGGCUAAGGCAGAUGUUGAAGAAUGCUGUUUACCUUAGAAAAAAGGGAAUAAAAAUAACAAUAAGAAUAAGAAAUUGCCGUACCAAAUAGCAUUGAACCUAGCACAGUCAGCAAAAUGAAACAACGUUCCACGCUUUUUGAGCAGUCCGAGUCCCUACAGUGUGCAGACGACCUUGAAUAUUAAUUUCAGAAACUGCCUCAUUAGACCCAAAAGCUAGAAAAUCCAUCAAAAAUCUUUAAUCUAUAUAUGCUAAAUUUAACUACGAAAUGCUCUGUAUCACUUCCUUAAUUGAGUUUAAUCCAAAUUUUGCGUUUCGCAAUCAUGUUUAUGUAAAUCCAAUCAAAAUUCCACAGAAGGAAGGUUCUGCUAAACGAAAGAAGCCUGUAAUCAAACGACAACAGGCCGUAACUGUUUAUGUUAGAUUAUACAACAAGAAAUGUUAUUAAUUUGGAUAUAUAAGAAGUUGAUGUACAAGAGAAGAAAUUACUUCAACCGGGUUUCUGUCAAAUCGAGCCAGAUUUGCUUGAAAACCUUGAU
rnacentral:misc_RNA from 1 species